rnacentral:lncRNA from 1 species
GCAACUUCUACCUAGGGUUGGAAACCAGGAAGGCCGUGGAAAGAGGUACCAGCUUUCUGGCACUAGGAGAGAACAGAAAUGUGUCUGCCCUUAAAUACUUAUUUAUGUUCUCUAUUUUAACCCAUGGACUCUGAAAAGGGCCUAAAUAGUAUACUUUUAAAUAAACUUCAAGAAUAUAAUAUUUUAGCCCACAUAUUCAUGCCCCUCAUAUUUUUCAUUUAUCAAUACUCCAAGCACCUUCUCCAGAAAAAAUCCUGAGGACUAUGCAAUAAGCACAUGACAACACAAU